CCUACGGGUGGCAGCAGUGGGGAAUAUUGGGCAAUGGGCGAAAGCCUGACCCAGCAACGCCGCGUGAAGGAAGAAGGCUUUCGGGUUGUAAACUUCUUUUGACAGGGAAGAGCAGAAGACGGUACCUGUCGAAUAAGCCACGGCUAACUACGUGCUAGCAGCCGCGGUAAUACGUAGGUGGCAAGCGUUGUCCGGAUUUACUGGGUGUAAAGGGUGUGUAGCCGGGCUGACAAGGCAGAUGUGAAAUCCGGGGGCUCAACCCCCGAAGUGCAUUUGAAACUGUUGGUCUUGAGUAUCGGGGAGGCAGGCGGAAUGUCUGGGGUAGCGGUGAAAUGCGUAGAGAUUA
rnacentral:rRNA from 1 species